rnacentral:rRNA from 1 species
AUUGAACGCUGGCGGCAGGCCUAACACAUGCAAGUCGAGCGGAUGAAGGGAGCUUGCUCCUGGAUUCAGCGGCGGACGGGUGAGUAAUGCCUAGGAAUCUGCCUGGUAGUGGGGGAUAACGUCCGGAAACGGGCGCUAAUACCGCAUACGUCCUGAGGGAGAAAGUGGGGGAUCUUCGGACCUCACGCUAUCAGAUGAGCCUAGGUCGGAUUAGCUAGUUGGUGGGGUAAAGGCCUACCAAGGCGACGAUCCGUAACUGGUCUGAGAGGAUGAUCAGUCACACUGGAACUGAGACACGGUCCAGACUCCUACGGGAGGCAGCAGUGGGGAAUAUUGGACAAUGGGCGAAAGCCUGAUCCAGCCAUGCCGCGUGUGCGAAGAAGGUCUUCGGAUUGUAAAGCACUUUAAGUUGGGAGGAAGGGCAGUAAGUUAAUACCUUUCUGUUUUGACGUUACCAACAGAAUAAGCACCGGCUAACUUCGUG